rnacentral:lncRNA from 1 species
GUUUGUAUGCAGCUGAACGAGGUGGCAACGAUGGGGGUUGCCAUCCGGAUUGAUGUCAAGGUUGAAGAGGGGACGAAUGGUUGCUCGCUGCACCAACAUAUCUACCGUCGUGCAGUAUAUGCGGUGCGUGCAUGCGGUCGGGGCGUGCAAACUCAGAUACCAUGACGGACAGCAGGGGCCGUGUUGCGCACCAGCACCAAGGGUUGAUUGGCUUGGGUACUGGCCACAUACAUGCACAGACCACACACUCUCGGGUGACGACUCGACGAGUAAGGGAGGGGGGCACCUGCUGGAUGGCAGCUGAGCCGCGACCGUCAGUUACUGCAUGACGAGCGGGUUUUUCUGCAUGCUCUAUCUCAGCACUUCCUCUGCAGGGCAGCGGGCAGGGUGUUGACACGCCGGAACCGGAUCCACUGCCCAGUGGAGCAUGAGUGCCUGCAUGCAGCGCUGCUGUCGGAGGCGGCCGGCCAACAGCCCAAACUUCGCCUGGAAGAACC